GUGAGGAAUAUUGCGCAAUGGAGGCAACUCUGACGCAGCCAUUCCGCGUGCAGGAAGAAGGCGCUACGCGUUGUAAACUGCUUUUAACCGGGAAGAAACCCCAGGACGUGUCCUGGGUUGACGGUACCGGAGGAAUAAGCACCGGCUAACUUCGUGCCAGCAGCCGCGGUAAUACGAAGGGUGCAAGCGUUAUCCGGAUUCAUUGGGUUUAAAGGGUGCGUAGGCGGGGCGUUAAGUCAGUGGUGAAAUCCUGCAGCUUAACGUUAGACUUGCCAUUGAUACUGGUGUUCUUGAGUUGGAUUGAGGUGGGCGGAAUGUGCCGUGUAGCGGUGAAAUGCUUAGAUAUGGCACAGAACACCAAUUGCGAAGGCAGCUCGCUGAGGCUUGAUUGACGCUGAGGCACGAAAGCGUGGGUAGCAAACAGGAUUAGAUACCCUUGUAGUCC
rnacentral:rRNA from 1 species